rnacentral:rRNA from 1 species
GAUGAACGCUGGCGGCGUGCCUAAUACAUGCAAGUCGAGCGAACAGACGAGGAGCUUGCUCCUCUGACGUUAGCGGCGGACGGGUGAGUAACACGUGGAUAACCUACCUAUAAGACUGGGAUAACUUCGGGAAACCGGAGCUAAUACCGGGUAAUAUAUUGAACCGCAUGGUUCAAUAGUGAAAGACGGUUUUGCUGUCACUUAUAGAUGGAUCCGCGCCGCAUUAGCUAGUUGGUAAGGUAACGGCUUACCAAGGCAACGAUGCGUAGCCGCCCUGAGAGGGUGAUCGGCCACACUGGAACUGAGACACGGUCCAGACUCCGACGGGAGGCAGCAGUAGGGAAUCUUCCGCAAUGGGCGAAAGCCUGACGGAGCAACGCCGCGUGAGUGAUGAAGGUCUUCGGAUCGUAAAACUCUGUUAGUAGGGAAGAACAAAUGUGUAAGUAACUAUGAACGUCUUGACGGUACCUAAUCAGAAAGCCGCGGCUAACUACGUG